UGCCAGCCGCCGCGGUAAUACGGAGGGUGCAAGCGUUGUUCGGAAUUAUUGGGCGUAAAGCGCGUGUAGGCGGUUCGUUAAGUCUGAUGUGAAAGUCCGGGGCUCAACCUCGGGAUUGCAUCUGAAACUCCAUAUCUAGAGGGUAGGCGGAGAAAACGGAAUUCCACGUGUAGCGGUGAAAUGCGUAGAUAUGUGGAAGAACACCCGUAGCGAAAGCGGUUUUCUAGCUUAUACCUGACGCUGAGGUGCGAAAGCUGGGGGAGCGAACAGGAUUAGAUA
rnacentral:rRNA from 1 species